rnacentral:rRNA from 1 species
UGGGGAAUAUUGGACAAUGGGCGCAAGCCUGAUCCAGCAAUGCCGCGUGUGUGAAGAAGGCCUUCGGGUUGUAAAGCACUUUUAUCAGGAGCGAAACGCUGUCGGCUAAUACCCGGCGGAACUGACGGUACCUGAGGAAUAAGCACCGGCUAACUUCGUGCCAGCAGCCGCGGUAAUACGAAGGGUGCAAGCGUUAAUCGGAAUUACUGGGCGUAAAGCGUGCGUAGGCGGUUUCUUAAGUCUGCUGUGAAAUCCCCGGGCUCAACCUGGGAAUGGCAGUGGAUACUGGGAGGCUAGAGUGUGUCAGAGGGUGGUGGAAUUCCCGGUGUAGCGGUGAAAUGCGCAGAGAUCGGGAGGAACAUCAGUGGCGAAGGCGGCCACCUGGGACAACACUGACGCUGAGGCACGAAAGCGUGGGGAGCAAACAGGAUUAGAUACCCUGGUAGUCCACGCCCUAAACGAUGCGAACUGGAUGUUGGUCUCAACUCGGAGAUCAGUGUCGAAGCUAACGCGUUAAGUUCGCCGCCU